rnacentral:lncRNA from 1 species
CAAAGUAAACGUUGAUUUUCUCUUGAACAAAAAUUUUAUGUAUUAUUAAUAUGCCAGCAAAAUACUUCUGUUCACCUUUUGAAUACAUUCAAAAGGAGAGUGAGUACAAAAGAGAAUUUUCUCAUGCUCUGGGGGGGGCCUGGGUCAGCUCAGGAAGGAAGCCCUGCCUGUAAAGGCUGCAGCUUAGGCUGUCUCUCUUCACUUAGCCCAGCAUCUGAUCACAUCUUCUGUCACUCAGGGCCUGAGGGGCGGGACCUAAAGCAUUAUCCAAUCAGAGACGCUGGGCUGGAAACCGUCCAAUCAGGCACGCAGCUGGAGCGACGAGGACGGCUUUCCGCUUUUGGCGCGGCCUUUGUCUCUAGCUGCAGCCGGCGUUUCAGGUCUCGUCUUCACUGGUCUGUGUCCUAUUCUCCUGGAGGCCCAGCCUCUGUGGCCCUGUGACCUGCAGGUAUUGGGAGAUCCACAGCUAAAACCCCAGGACACCCUGGAAGCAUAGAAAUGGUUCUGUAGCAGAAAUUGCUGGUGUCUGUGGCAGGGGAGGGCACCUGAGGACAGGGAAGAAGAAACAUAUUUUUAUCUUUAUGGAGCAGCACAUUGUUCCCAAAUACCUUCUGCUUUAAGGGACAGAAAUGGAUGGACUUUUUCUGUCUUUUCUGCCAGUUGAUGUCAUGCUUGCAGGGACCAUUGCAGUUUAGAGACGUGGCCAUAGAAUUCUCUCUGGAGGAGUGGCAUUGCCUGGACACUGCACAGCGGAAUUUAUAUAGGGAUGUGAAGUUUCAGAACUACAGAAACUUGGUCUUCCUUUAGAUUAUAUUUUCUUCCAUCUUCCGCAUCCUCCUGUUCUUCAGCCAAUAAAUGAAAAAAGAUACAGAGAAGACACAUUUGCUUUUUAUCCACUGCACUUCCACUCACUAUUAGUCAAUGUGGUUACAGCUGAGAAUAGCAGUUUUCUGGCAGGGCAGCCACUUCUCAGCAAUAAACAGCACACUGAAAAAAAAGGAUAAAUCCUUCAUAAAAAGCUAAUGAACUUUUUUUUUCCUGGAAACUUUAAAAUCCCUCAAAAACUGUUUAUUAUACAGGUGAAUUUUGAUAGUCAUG